rnacentral:rRNA from 1 species
UACGUAGGGUGCGAGCGUUAAUCGGAAUUACUGGGCGUAAAGUGUGCGCAGGCGGCCGCGCAAGUCGAGUGUGAAAGCCCCGGGCUUAACUUGGGAAUUGCGCUCGAAACUACGUGGCUGGAGUGUGGCAGAGGAAGGUGGAAUUCCAGGUGUAGCGGUGAAAUGCGUAGAUAUCUGGAGGAACACCGGUGGCGAAGGCGGCAUCCUGGACCAAUACUGACACUGAGGAGCGAAAGCCAGGGGAGCAAACGGG